rnacentral:rRNA from 1 species
AUUGAACGCUGGCGGAAUGCUUUACACAUGCAAGUUGAACGGCAGCACGGGGGCAACCCUGGUGGCGAGUGGCGAACGGGUGAGUAAUACAUCGGAACGUGCCCGGUCGUGGGGGAUAACGUAGCGAAAGUUACGCUAAUACCGCAUACGAUCUGAGGAUGAAAGCGGGGGACCUUCGGGCCUCGCGCGAUCGGAGCGGCCGAUGUCAGAUUAGGUAGUUGGUGGGGUAAAGGCCUACCAAGCCGACGAUCUGUAGCUGGUCUGAGAGGACGACCAGCCACACUGGGACUGAGACACGGCCCAGACUCCUACGGGAGGCAGCAGUGGGGAAUUUUGGACAAUGGGCGCAAGCCUGAUCCAGCCAUUCCGCGUGCAGGACGAAGGCCUUCGGGUUGUAAACUGCUUUUGUAUGGAACGAAAAGGCUCUGGCUAAUACCUGGGGCUCAUGACGGUACCGUAAGAAUAAGCACCGGCUAACUACGUG